GACGUAGGGCGCGAGCGUUGUCCGGAUUUAUUGGGCGUAAAGAGCUCGUAGGCGGCUUGUCGCGUCGACCGUGAAAACUUGGGGCUCAACCCCAAGCCUGCGGUCGAUACGGGCAGGCUAGAGUUCGGCAGGGGAGACUGGAAUUCCUGGUGUAGCGGUGAAAUGCGCAGAUAUCAGGAGGAACACCGGUGGCGAAGGCGGGUCUCUGGGCCGAUACUGACGCUGAGGAGCGAAAGCGUGGGGAGCGAACAGG
rnacentral:rRNA from 1 species